UAGGGCCAUACCACGUUGAAAUACCGGUUCCUGUACAACCACCUAAAUUAAGCGACGUCGAGUCUGGUAAAUACCUUAAUGGAUAACCACUUGGGAAUACCAGGUGCUGUAAG